AGAGUUUGAUCAUGGCUCAGAACGAACGCUGGCGGCAGGCCUAACACAUGCAAGUCGAGCGGACCCCUCGGGGUUAGCGGCAGACGGGUGAGUAACGCGUGGGAACCUACCCAGUGGUACGGAAUAGCCCAGGGAAACUUGGGGUAAUACCGUAUACGCCCGAAAGGGGAAAGAUUUAUCGCCAUUGGAUGGGCCCGCGUCGGAUUAGCUAGUUGGUGGGGUAAUGGCCUACCAAGGCGACGAUCCGUAGCUGGUCUGAGAGGAUGAUCAGCCACACUGGGACUGAGACACGGCCCAGACUCCUACGGGAGGCAGCAGUGGGGAAUAUUGGACAAUGGGCGAAAGCCUGAUCCAGCCAUGGCCGCGUGAGUGACGAAGGUCUUCGGAUUGUAAAGCUCUUUUGGCGGGGAAGAUAAUGACGGUACCCGCAGAAUAAGCCCCGGCUAACUUCGUGCCAGCAGCCGCGGUAAUACGAAGGGGGCUAGCGUUGUUCGGAAUCACUGGGCGUAAAGCGCACGUAGGCGGAUUUGCCAGUCAGGGGUGAAAUCCCGGGGCUCAACCUCGGAACUGCCUUUGAUACAGCAAGUCUAGAGUCCGGAAGAGGUGAGUGGAAUUCCUAGUGUAGAGGUGAAAUUCGUAGAUAUUAGGAGGAACACCAGUGGCGAAGGCGGCUCACUGGUCCGGCACUGACGCUGAGGUGCGAAAGC
rnacentral:rRNA from 1 species